rnacentral:rRNA from 1 species
GCAAGUCGAACGAGAAAGUUCCUUCGGGAAUGAGUAAAGUGGCGCACGGGUGAGUAACGCGUAAGUAAUCUACCUUUGCAUCUGGAAUAACUACGGGAAGCUGUAGCUAAUACCGGAUACGUUCUCCAUUCUACGGAUUGGAGAAGAAAGAUGACCUCUUCUUGAAAGUUAUUGUGCAAAGAGGAGCUUGCGUACCAUUAGCUAGUUGGUAGGGUAAUGGCCUACCAAGGCAACGAUGGUUAGCGGGUCUGAGAGGAUGAUC